UGGGGAAUUUUGGACAAUGGGCGAAAGCCUGAUCCAGCAAUGCCGCGUGUGUGAAGAAGGCCUUCGGGUUGUAAAGCACUUUUGUCCGGAAAGAAAUCCUUGGCUCUAAUACAGUCGGGGGAUGACGGUACCGGAAGAAUAAGCACCGGCUAACUACGUGCCAGCAGCCGCGGUAAUACGUAGGGUGCAAGCGUUAAUCGGAAUUACUGGGCGUAAAGCGUGCGCAGGCGGUUUGCUAAGACCGAUGUGAAAUCCCCGGGCUCAACCUGGGAACUGCAUUGGUGACUGGCAGGCUAGAGUAUGGCAGAGGGGGGUAGAAUUCCACGUGUAGCAGUGAAAUGCGUAGAGAUGUGGAGGAAUACCGAUGGCGAAGGCAGCCCCCUGGGCCAAUACUGACGCUCAUGCACGAAAGCGUGGGGAGCAAAACAGGAUUAGAUACCCUGGUAGUCCACGCCCUAAAACGAUGUCAACUAGUUGUUGGGGAUUCAUUUCCUUAGUAACGUAGCUAACGCGUGAAGUUGGCCGCCUGGGGAGUACGGUCGCAAAGAUUAAAAACUCAAAGGAAUUGACGGGGUCAUAGCUGUUUCCU
rnacentral:rRNA from 1 species